GAGCUGAUGUCUGCCUCAUCCCCUGUGCUGUGCCAUUGUGUAUGCUUUCCUUUGAAACAAUACAAAACAGAGAGAGGAGAGUGAAAGCCACACAACCACACUGGUCAUUGGAGAAUCCUGAGAUUGAAUAUAGAAAGUGGCCAACGGAGCUGAGUGCAUUGGAAGAACCAACCACCAUGGAGGGAACAGGAUGAGGGGCUGACCUAAGCUCCUUGGGAAAUAAACACAGCCUAUCAGAAGACAAAGAAUCCAUGCCCAAGCAUUGUCUGUGCUUUGACCAGCACUGCAGCUUCCCAUGGGGGUACAAGCUAACACAUACAUGCUGCUGUAUAUGCAGACUGGAAGUGAGCAAGUGAAUGCAUGGUGAGUGGCAGGGCUCAGACAUUGCCCGCCCCCACUCCCCCGUUGGAAUAAAAGUUGACAGUUACAAAGGAGAAAAAGAAAAGCCCGUCAUUUACAAAGAAUUAAAUCAACCACUUAUCGGUAAG